rnacentral:rRNA from 1 species
GGGUCAGUAGGUUGGUCGUGCCACCGGUACGUACUGGUCUCACUGAUUCCUCCUUCCUGAAGAACCGUAAUGCCAUUAAUUUGGUGUUGCGGGGGAACAGGACUGUUACUUUGGAAAAAUUAGAGUGUUUAAAGCAAGCUAACGCUUGAAUACAUUAGCAUGGAAUAAUGAAAUAGGACGAUCGAUCCUAUUUUGUUGGUUUCUAGGAUUGACGUA